GACGAACGCUGGCGGCGUGCUUAACACAUGCAAGUCGAACGAUGAAGCCGGAGCUUGCUCUGGUGAAUUAGUGGCGAACGGGUGAGUAACACGUGAGUAACCUGCCCUUGGCUCUGGGAUAACUGCUAGAAAUGGUAGCUAAUACCGGAUACGACCCUCGGAGGCAUCUCCAGGGGGUGGAAAGAAUUUCGGUCAAGGAUGGACUCGCGGCCUAUCAGCUAGUUGGUGAGGUAACGGCUCACCAAGGCGACGACGGGUAGCCGGCCUGAGAGGGUGACCGGCCACACUGGGACUGAGACACGGCCCAGACUCCUACGGGAGGCAGCAGUGGGGAAUAUUGCACAAUGGGCGCAAGCCUGAUGCAGCAACGCUGCGUGAGGGAUGACGGCCUUCGGGUUGUAAACCUCUUUUAGUAGGGAAGAAGCGAAAGUGACGGUACCUGCAGAAAAAGCACCGGCUAACUACGUGCCAGCCGCCGCAGUAA
rnacentral:rRNA from 1 species